rnacentral:rRNA from 1 species
CACGUAGGGCGCGAGCGUUGUCCGGAAUUAUUGGGCGUAAAGAGCUCGUAGGCGGCCUGUUGCGUCCGCUGUGAAAGCCCCGGGGCUUAACCCCGGGUCUGCAGUGGAUACGGGCAGGCUAGAGGUAGGUAGGGGAGAAUGGAAUUCCCGGUGUAGCGGUGAAAUGCGUAGAUAUCUGGAGGAACACCGGUGGCGAAGGCGGCAUCCUGGACCGGCAUUGACGCUGAGGCGCGAAAGCCAGGGGAGCAAACGGG